rnacentral:rRNA from 1 species
GAUGAACGCUAGCGGCAGGCUUAACACAUGCAAGUCGAGGGGUAUUUCUCUUCGGAUAGAGAGACCGGCGCACGGGUGCGUAACUCGUAUGCAAUCUACCUUUUACAGAGGGAUAGCCCAGAGAAAUUUGGAUUAAUACAUCAUAGUAUAUAGACUCGGCAUCGAGAUUAUAUUAAAGUCACAACGGUAAAAUAUGAGCAUGCGUCCCAUUAGCUAGUUGGUAAGGUAACGGCUUACCAAGGCUACGAUGGGUAGGGGUCCUGAGAGGGAGAUCCCCCACACUGGUACUGAGACACGGACCAGACUCCUACGGGAGGCAGCAGUGAGGAAUAUUGGACAAUGGGCGCAAGCCUGAUCCAGCCAUGCCGCGUGCAGGAUGACGGUCCUAUGGAUUGUAAACUGCUUUGAUACGAGAAGAAACACUGCUACGUGUAGCAGCUUGACGGUAUCGUAAGAAUAAGGAUCGGCUAACUCCGU